AAACAACCGCUUCCUUUUGAUCCCGAGAACAAAAAUUAGGAGGAAGCAUCGGGGAGUAAAAAAAGCAAGGAAGUAGACGUGGAUGUCAGACCGCCAAGGUGAAGCAGAGAGGAGACAAGACCAGAACAGCUAGGAAGAGCUUCCCCUUCUCUAAUGAAUUGUGGAGAUCAAUCAGAGGCUGACCUUUUGUUUAUCAGCUGAUUUGCUUCUCUCUUUCAAGAAUGCAAGCUUGGUUCUGUGCGAGGUUAUCUUACCCGGGGAAUAAAGGAGGCAAACCGCAAGCAGCAGCAAUUAUAAUCAAGAUUAUAAGGAAAACAAUGUGAAGCCUGAUUCGGGGAAGAAAAGCUACAGUUUAAAAGACGCUGAAAACUUUGAAGAAAC